rnacentral:rRNA from 1 species
UACGGGAGGCAGCAGUGGGGAAUAUUGGACAAUGGGCGAAAGCCUGAUCCAGCCAUACCGCGUGUGUGAAGAAGGCCCUAGGGUUGUAAAGCACUUUAAGUUGGGAAGAAAAGUUAUUGGUUAAUACCCAAUGACCGUGACAUUACCAUCAGAAUAAGGACCGGCUAAUUCCGUGCCAGCAGCCGCGGUAAU